rnacentral:rRNA from 1 species
GGAGGGGGCUAGCGUUGUUCGGAUUUACUGGGCGUAAAGGGCGCGUAGGCGGUAUGCCAUGUCAGGGGUGAAAGGCCUGGGCUCAACCCAGGAACUGCCUUUGAAACUGGCAAACUAGAGUCCGAUAGAGGAUGGCGGAAUUCCCAGUGUAGAGGUGAAAUUCGUAGAUAUUGGGAAGAACACCAGUGGCGAAGGCGGCCAUCUGGACCGGCACUGACGCUGAGGCGCGAAAGCGUGGGGAGCAAACAGGGAUUAGAUACCCUGGUAGUCCACGCCGUAAACGAUGUGUGCUAGACGUUGGGGGCCCUUAGGCCCUGAGUGUCGCAGCUAACGCGUUAAGCACACCGCCUGGGGAGUACGGCCGCAAGGUUA